rnacentral:lncRNA from 1 species
UCAAUCUUAAUUUUUUUUAUUUUUUUUAUAAAAAUACAUUUCAGACACCACAAUGUAAUUUCUAAGUUCAAUAAAAAAUAUAAUAAAUUGCCAAUUCUAGAUAAUAAUGUACACAUAAUUUACUACAUUGAGAUUCACCAUACAAUUCAAUGAAUUCAUCGUAUCUAUAGUUCUUGUGAUCCACGCCUUGAUUCCCACCAAGAUAUAUAUACAUCAACAACCAAUUCUCUAACGGAUAUGCACAAAUUCCCGCUAACAUUUGAUGUAAAACUCAUAAUAUUCUUCUUCAAAUUAAACUCUCCAAUCCAUCACCAAUUUCUCCCACCAAAUCGACAACAAUUGUGCUCCUAGAUAAUUUUUCAUUAACAAUAGAUAUACAGACUCAAUUGUAAUUAGUUAGUCAUUAAUAAUUAACUAAUUACAAUUGAGCCUAUAUUUAUUACUAAUAAAAAAUAAUCUAGGUAACAAAUUAAAUUGAAUUUGCGAUAUGAUCGAGUAUCAUCACUUGCCUCUAGACUCUAGAAGUUCCAAAACGGCCACUAACUUGGCGUGCAUACGCUACAACAGCCUUAGCCCACUUCUUGAUCUCAUCUUUCAAUUUGUUUGAGUCCAUUUCUUUAAGCUUCUUCCCCGGCUCCAACGACACCUCCUCCGCCGACGAAAACCACCGCUUGAACCGGCCGCGUUUCGCCGGCUUCUGGCCCUUAAGGAUGGUAAUGGCGUUUCCUCCGUUAAGUGAUAGAGAUUUCUUCACCGACAUGGCAGUUGUUUGUUGAAAGAUAUUUGUUAAAUUAUUGAAG